AUGGCUGACGACGGAGCAGCCGCCGGCGUAGACCCCUCUCCUUCCUCUCCCCCUAUCCAUCCGGCGGCACCGGACAACCCGCCCAUCGAUGCCGCAUCCUUCACCCACACCCCGUACUACUGUGAAGAAAAUGUGUACUUGCUAUGUAAGGAACUGAUUAGAGCUGGACUUGCUGAUCCUGCGGGCAAUGACCUUUAUGCUGUUUUCAUAUCAAAUGAGGAAAAGAAGAUUCCCCUCUGGUAUCAGAAAGCAAGUCGUACUAAUGAUGGAUUUGUCUUGUGGGAUUACCAUGUAAUCUGUAUCCAGUCUAGGCGAAACAAAGGAGAUGUUCUUGAUCUUGUUUGGGAUUUGGACUCCAGUCUUCCUUUCCCUUCUCCAUUCCUCCAGUACGUUGCUGAUGCCAUUCAACCACUAGCAUUUGGCGACUCCAUCUAUGCAAGACUUUUCCGUGUAGUUCAUGGUCCGGUAUUUCUUCGAUCAUUUGCAUCAGACAGAAGUCACAUGAAGGACCCCGUGGGGAAUUGGAUUGAGUUACCCCCAAAAUAUGAACCAAUUGUUGCGGAAGAUGGAAGCACAAAUAACCUGAAUGAGUACAUUGCCAUGACUAAUAAUGAUGUCGGAGACCUGGAAAGCAUGGUUAAUGAUGUCUACCACAAGAAACAUGGAGUGGUGAUAAACGAAACGUUGCUCCCCAUGUUCUUCUCCCGGUUGCCUGAAUGGCAUCCUUAA
rnacentral:rRNA from 1 species